UUAAAAUAAGAAGGUAUACUGCAAUAUAAUAAUAAAAUUAAAUAAGGCCAGUACACCUCCAAUUAAUAAAGAUGAAGAAGGUUUCUCUUGUAUUGAUUAGCUUUCUCUUGGCUACCGUUCUCUUCUUACCCUCCUCAACCCUAGCUCAACAAUUACCUCAAGGUGUUUCUUACAAGCCACUGCUGCCGAAUUCGCCGCACAAGUACUUAAUAACUCCAAAUUGUACACGCUACAUAAGAUCAUGUUAUCCAACUACUCCAAAGCCAAAUAGAAGACCGCCAUCACCACCAGCAACACCACCACCAUCACCACCAGCCUACCGGCAGCCACCAAAACGAUGCACGCCCUAUAAACGCAGCUGCCCUCCGGAGCUACGCCAUUAAGUUAUGAGACAACUACUACCGCAUCGCUUCCAUCUCAUGAAAUAAUAUUAUAAGCAUCAAAUUUGUAGAGUAAUAAAUGUAUUGAGCGUUUACAACAAAUAAAGAGUGAUCACUCUACCAGUUGCCUUGUACUUUACUAUUAUAGUGAUAUCUGAUACUACAAAUCAUUUUCAUAAAUAAAAAACAUUGUGUUUUUUUAUUAAA